rnacentral:lncRNA from 1 species
AAGUUCAACUCUUCUUCUUCACGUUGGGAUCUUCAUCAUCCCACCGGCUCACUUUUCUUCGGUCUACCUUCUUGAUCACUUUUGAAUAUGGUCUUUGAAUCUCCACCAUUCCUUUUUCCUUCAGCUCCUUUACUAUCCAUUCCUUUUUCUUAAAUCUCACUUUGCUCCCCGGUAGGAGUGGAUCUUCUUUUUGUUUUGGGUGAAUGGUUCU